rnacentral:rRNA from 1 species
UCCCACCCUGUGUCGUUAUACCUUCGUUGCUUUGGCGGGCCGCGGGGCCCCGGCCCCGCCCCUGGCUCCGGCUAGGGCGCGCCCGCCAGAGGACCUCAAAACCUGAAUGUUAGUGUCGUCUGAGUACUAUAUAAUAGUUAAAACUUUCAACAACGGAUCUCUUGGUUCUGGCAUCGAUGAAGAACGCAGCGAAAUGCGAUAAGUAAUGUGAAUUGCAGAAUUCAGUGAAUCAUCGAAUCUUUGAACGCACAUUGCGCCCCUUGGUAUUCCGGGGGGCAUGCCUGUUCGAGCGUCAUUACAACCCUCAAGCUCUGCUUGGUCUUGGGCGUCACCGGUCCCGGUGUGCCUUAAAAUCAGUGGCGGCGCCAUCUGGCUCUAAGCGUAGUACAUACUCUCGCUACAGACGUCCGGUGGAUGCUGGCCAGCAACCCCCAACUUAUCAAGGUUGACCUCGGAUCAGGUAGGGAUACCCGCUGAACUUAAGCAUAUCAAUA